UUUUUCCAGUUUUGUUUUGUUCGCUGCAGUCUUUAUGUUGACAAGCUUAUUUUUCUUCUUUAGAAUUUAAACUUCUUCACGUUUGGACGUAUUUGUUUGAGGUCAGCUGGCCUUGAUGUGUUUGACCUAGGUCUUAAUUUGCCUCUGGUUAGUUUGGGAGAUCAAGAAAACAGAACAAACGAGCCUUGUAGUGUUGCACCCAUACGAAAUAUACAAUGAGUGUUUAAGUUUAAAGCUAAUGACUACUAUUGUCCCAAGUUGAAGUCAUGGUCAAGUCUUUUCCAGUUCGUUUUCUUGUCCUUUGUGGCUCUUUUCUGAAUGUUCACAGGAUUAUGGAAUGGAGCUCUUCAAAUGAUUUGAUAUGAUGAAAAAGGGGAGGUUACUGAUGUGUUUGACCUAGGUCUUGAUUUGCCUCUGGUUAGUUUGGGAGAUCCAGAAAACAGAACAAAUGAGCCUUGUAGUGUUGCACCCAUACGAAAUAUACAAUGAGUGUUUAAGUUUAAAGCUAACGUCUACUAUUGUCCCAAGUUGAAGUCAUGGUCAAGUCUUUUCCUUCGUUUUCUUGUCCUUUGUGGCUCUUUUCUGAAUGUUCACAGGAUUAUGGAAUGGAGCUCUUCAAAUGAUUUGAUAUGAUGAAAAAGGGGAGGUUACUGAUAGCAAAGAUUGGAGCUCAAGCACAUCCUGUAAAAAGGAGAUUUUCAGGGCCAAUCUUGGAGUUCAGGCACACACUUGGCCAAUAAAAAGGAUGCCAAUCUCAAUCCCUUAAUGCCAUUAUCUGCUCUUCAGUGUCGCUGACUGGAAGACUGCCACGCACUGAAUAAGAGAAGGAGGACAAGUGCAAGUGAUAUAAAUACACAAUCAUUCAUUUUAUUGAAGCCAAAACUGGUCGGCCACAAUUUUAGGCAAUAUUAGGUUGGUCCUAAUUGAAUUUGACAUAUUGUUUUCUGAAAUUUCAGUAAUCGUGUAACAGUUUACAUCAUGUUUUUAUUGCAAAACUCUUUUUCCAUUACUUUCUACCCUUGUUCGACACUUUUCAAAAGAACUUUAGCCAGCGAAUAUCAAUCCUGGUUGUGGCAUACCAGUAGAAGCGAUCAAGUCAUUGAAGGUUGCCAGCAACUCUCCACAUUUUCUGCAACUUGCCAUUGUUGCUUCGCAAGGAGAGGCAAAUGAUCUAGGAGGAUCUGACACUUUGAUGGAUUUGAAUGAAAUGGU